rnacentral:rRNA from 1 species
AUUGAACGCUGGCGGCAGGCCUAACACAUGCAAGUCGAGCGGAUGAGGGAAGCUUGCUUUUCGAUUCAGCGGCGGACGGGUGAGUAAUGCCUAGGAAUCUGCCUGUUAGUGUGGGACAACUUGGUGAAACCCGGGCUAAUACCGCAUACGUCCUACGGGAGAAAGCGGGGGACGUUCGGACCUCACGCUAACAGAUGAGCCUAGGUCGGAUUAGCUAGUAGGUGAGUUAAUGGCUCACCAAGGCGACGAUCCGGAACUGGUCUGAGAGGAUGAUCAGUCACGCUGGAACUGAGACACGGUCCAGACGCCUACGGGAGGCAGCAGUGGGGAAUAUGGGACAAUGGGCGAAAGCCUGAUCCAGCCAUGCCGCGUGUGUGAAGAAGGUCUUCGGCUUGUAAAGCACUUUCAGUUGGGAGGAAGGGUAUUCCUCUAAUACGUGGGUAUUUUGACGUUACCAACAGAAUAAGCACCGGCUAACUCUGUGCCAGCAGCCGCCGUAA